GUUUUGAUAGUUUAAAAUAAAACCAUGGUCUUGUAAACCAUAAAUGAAUCCAUUCUCAAAACU
rnacentral:tRNA from 1 species